CCUACGGGUGGCAGCAGUGGGGAAUAUUGGACAAUGGGGGGAACCCUGAUCCAGCCAUGCCGCGUGUGUGAAGAAGGCCCUCGGGUUGUAAAGCACUUUCAGUGAGGAAGAACGCCUGGUGGUUAAUACCCAUCAGGAAAGACAUCACUCACAGAAGAAGCACCGGCUAACUCCGUGCCAGCAGCCGGGUAAUACGGAGGGUGCGAGCGUUAAUCGGAAUUACUGGGCGUAAAGCGCGCGUAGGUGGCUUGAUAAGCCGGUUGUGAAAGCCCCGGGCUCAACCUGGGAACGGCAUCCGGAACUGUCAAGCUAGAGUGCAGGAGAGGAAGGUAGAAUUCCCGGUGUAGCGGUGAAAUGCGUAGAGAUCGGGAGGAAUACCAGUGGCGAAGGCGGCCUUCUGGACUGACACUGACACUGAGGUGCGAAAGCGUGGGUAGCAAACAGGAUUAGAUACCCCUGUAGUC
rnacentral:rRNA from 1 species